rnacentral:rRNA from 1 species
UACGAAGGGGGCUAGCGUUGCUCGGAAUCACUGGGCGUAAAGCGCACGUAGGCGGUUUGCUAAGUCAGGGGUGAAAUCCUGGAGCUCAACUCCAGAACUGCCCUUGAUACUGGCGGUCUCGAGUCCGGGAGAGGUGAGUGGAACUGCGAGUGUAGAGGUGAAAUUCGUAGAUAUUCGCAAGAACACCAGUGGCGAAGGCGGCUCACUGGCCCGGUACUGACGCUGAGGUGCGAAAGCAUGGGGAGCGAACAGG